CUAUGGCUUAGUAUACAGGAUUAUAAGAAGAUGCUGCUAUGGGCUGAAUGUUUGUGCACUCCCACUCCCAAAAUUUCCAUGUUGAAGCCUAUUCUCCAAUGUGAUGAUAUUUGGAGGUGGGGCCUUUGAGAGAUAAUUAGCUCAUGAGGGUGGAGCCUAAAUGAAUGGGAUCAAUACCCUUUUCAAAAGAGGAGGAAGCGUGGGAUUCAAGUAAGAGGAUGACAUCCCUAAACCAGGAAGCAGGCCCUCACAAAACACCGGAUCUGCCAGCACCAGUGAUCUUGGACUUCUCAGUCUCCAGAACUGUGAGAAAUAAAUGCUUGUUUCAGCCACCCAGUUUAUGGAUUAAAUUUCUGCCAAGAAGUACAUGGUGACAAAGAACAGACACUCCAGAGACAGACCCUUUGGCUUCUAACCUGCCUUUCCCACUUAAUGGAGGCAUGACCUUGGGCUAUAUAUUCAUAAGACCUUUGAGACUGAAGGAGCUGGAAUGGAGAAGAGCUGACUGAAUGGCAAAGGGUAAGAAGAGGAAGUGGCUUCCCUUAAGUUAGAAGCUGUUUUCACCUAUGGGCUGCGACAAUGCACUGGCCAUGUGUUCUAGACCUAAUCUGGGUGAGUGAAUAACUGGGAGGAUGUGGAACCCAGGAAGAGGAUGACAGCUCACUUACAGCUUCAGGAGCCUAAUCUGGGAAUCACACUUAUAUUCCCUCUGCUUUUAGAGCUAUUGGACACACCAAAGGGGGCUUUCUCCAAGGGCAGAAACUCUCCCAUAACUCUGGUUCUGUUUUAUGUGAUGUAGUAGAGAUUGUAAACCACAGCCUGAAUACAGGAGGAUGUGGCUGCACAGGAAAAGGCUUUGUGGGUAAAAUGGGGAAAAGAAUGCAAGGUAGAGGACGAAAGAAACUAAAGUGAAGAGUUCUUUAAAGUAACACUUAAAAUUCCCCAGACUUCCUAAAUAACAGCCUUCUGGGGUCACGUGCUAUAGAAAUGCAACACUUUGUGCUGUCUUUCUAAAACUCUUUGUUGAACUCUUUUUCUAACAAAGGAAUAUCUACUGUUUUUACACUUAAUCAGCUGUAAUGAAAGAAUAUGAAGAGCUGUCAUGUGCUUUUUAGGGAAAAUUAUCAGAUAUUCUUUUAUAUGAUGAAGUAACACACUGAGCUGAUAAUUCUAUAGUGCAUACUAAAUUACAAUUAAGGGCCUUUCUGCUCCACCAGAAUCUCAUUUAUAAUCUCUAUGGAAAUAUUCUUCCUGCAGUUAUUUCAUUUACGCUUCCUUUAUCUAAUUACUAUAAUAUUGGUUCUGAAUCAUAUUUUCCUAAUGUACCCUUAUUCAAUUAUAAAGUUAUUUUCAAGUACAGUUACUUUUUAAUAUCAAAGAAUACCACUUGGCCAUCUAAGUCAUUUGUCAUGCUUCUUAAUUGCAGAUUGUUCCUGAGCCACUUUUUUCUCCACUUUUAAGGAGGGUGAAACUUCUAUCAAUCACAAUCUAUUAAAUGACCCUAUUUCUUCAAAAUAUUCACCCAAAAGGAAAGUCCUGAUCAUGAGAUCUGCAAGUUAGAUAUUCUGUACUUUAUGUAUCAUAUGCUACUGUUUUGUUGGGUUUGAAGAAAAGCAUACAUUGAGAAAUACCAUUACACCCUAAAUGUUUUAGGUUUUAAUUUACAGAAAUAGUUUUGUCCUGAAUGGCCAUUUCUGACUUGUUUCUUUUAGCUUGGAGCAGGCUACAGGUAAAGAAUAUUAAGUCAAUAGAGUAUUGGCUUCUUUAAGACUGUUUCCCGAAGGCAAGAGGCACAAAGUUUCUGGAAGCAGCAGUGUACUCUGGCAUCCUCCACAUUCAUAAGUGUGAUUCCCCUGAGUAGGGACUACGUGGACCCUGGCAGAUGGAUGUCUGUGGAAAGAGUCCCACCAGCCACUCCACAAAGCUUUGGCUCCCUCCGUACCAGCCAGGACGACCAGGAAGAAAGACCUGGAUUGUGCAACCAUCACCACUAAUUUCAGAACAUUUUCAUCACUUUGAGAAGAAAUCCCUAUCCAUCUAUCUCCAUCUCUAUCAAACUGAAAUAAAAGUUUCAUGAAACAAUACCUUACCUAACUUACUAUGUGGGAUGAAUGCUGAUAAUGUCUUUUCUAUUCUACUCUGUUCCAUUUUAUCCCAUUCUUCCCAUUACUUUAGAAAAAAAAUCUUUCAGUGCCUCACUACAUUGAUUUCGUGUCUUAAUAUGGAGUUGUAGCUAACAGUUUGGGUUUCCAUGGGCUAGGGCCCAUGGCACAUCUACAGCACCAUUUUCUUCCCUCUCAAGACCCUCAGUGCACUGGCUACUACUUGGUAAGUGUCCAAGGCUUUAUAUACUUGUGUUUGACUGUUUCCCCAGGGCCAAGCACAGUGAUGAGCAAGUAGUGGGCACUCAAGAAAUAUUGGUUGACUAAAUAAAUGUUUGCCUUUGAAUGGGAAAAAAUAAACCCAUAUACUUUUUUUUUGGUGAGGGUUUAUGCAAGUAAAAUGAAAUGCAAUAAAGCUGUUAUACUGCACUUUUAACCAAUGAAGGCCAGGAGCUGUGUAGCCUCUUCCUCAAAAAUAAGGCCCUGAAAUAUCCAUAUAAUUAUCUCCAUGCUUCUUUUCACUUUGUCUUGUAAAGUCAGCUUGAGCAGCCCAGUCACGCAGAGGACCCUACAAGUGAACUCUAGCAAUGACAUGAGCAGUGGAGCCCACAACAAAAGCCUGUAGCAAAAGCUUUGCUUUGGGUGAGUCAGCCAGUGAUGACUUAUCCUCACCCUCCCCUGCAUCUUCUUCCCUGUGCCUUUGUACCUGUCUUUGCCAGUCUCCUGCUUGAAG
rnacentral:lncRNA from 1 species